AGCUUUGCACAGUGGCAGUAUUGUAGCCAAUGAGGUUUAUCCGAGGCGUGAUUAUUGCUAAUUGAAAAAAAUUAACCUUCAUAUAUGGGUUAUAUAAGCAAAAAUACUUUUUAACAGCUGCAACCUUCAAAAGUUAAUAGAAGUGGGAACCAGCAG
rnacentral:snRNA from 1 species